rnacentral:rRNA from 1 species
CCUACGGGAGGCAGCAGUGGGGAAUAUUGGGCAAUGGGCGCAAGCCUGACCCAGCAACGCCGCGUGAAUGAAGAAGGCUUUCGGGUUGUAAACUUCUUUUAUCAGGGACGAAGCAAGUGACGGUACCUGAUGAAUAAGCCACGGCUAACUACGUGCCAGCAGCCGCGGUAAUACGUAGGUGGCAAGCGUUAUUCGGAUUUACUGGGCGUAAAGGGCGCGUAGGCGGGAGUGCAAGUCGGAUGUGAAAACUAUGGGCUUAACCCAUAGUCUGGUUUUGAAACUGUACUUCUUGAGUGCAGGAGAGGCGAUGGGAAUUCCGUGUGUAGCGGUGGAAUGCGUAGAUAUUCGGAGGAACACCAGUGGCGAAGGCGGAUAGCUGGACAGUAACUGACGCUGAGGCGCGAAAGCGUGGGGAGCAAACAGGAUUAGAUACCCGGGUAGUC